GUGCGGCUGAGGUCGGCCGACACUGAUGCUGAUGGAUUAUUUAUAGCGGACAGUGACAGGGACAUUUCUGUCUCCACUGCCCCAAAAGGACAGGAGGCUCUCUGUGAGAGAGGCGCGCCUGCUCCGGACCGUGCAUGAAAUGACUCCAUACCAAAGUCAGCAAUUGGUGCCCCGUCUGCCUGAAGAUGUCUUCAGUCUUGUUGAAACACCUCAGGAGGUCACACCGGGUGGCCAAAAUUCAAAAAAGACAGAUUCUGCUGAAUCAACAGCCAGUCUGAGCCCCGUCUAGUCGUACACUAUAAAUACAGCGGCCCGAGACUGGACAAGUGGAGGAGCCGGAGGAGCCGGAGGAGCCGGAGGUGCAGACAUGUGACGACCCCGACUGUGUCCAGCAGCAUGCAAGACCGUCAAAGGCCUCUCUGUGAAGGUGAAGAGGCCGAAGAUGGAAUUGAUCACCUCCCGCAUGGGCUCACAGUGGCUGGCGAGGAAGCUCUGCCGCCUGUCGAGGGAAGCUGGAACAGUGAGUGAGGCCGGCUGGAAGGUGACAAAUAUACAGACAGCGCGGGAGUGAUUGGCAAAAUAAUGGUUCCAUCUAUACUUUUCCAUUUUUUUAUUUUUUUUUACAAUCAAAGCCAGGAGACAGCAGCACCAGGAGGGAGAGCUGGGGCCAUCGGGCAGCCACCUCAGCAGAAAGCCCUUGUGAGUCUGUGUGUGGGUCCUGGAGACAUCUACUGCAGCAGGAACUACUACAGAGGCACUUUUUAGUACUCUGCCAGAUGUUUAUAUUUCAAAGCAAAGGCAAAGGGGCCGUUGCCCCCCCCCCCCCCCCCCCCUCCCCCACAACCUUUACGCCCCUGAUCUGAUUUGGCGUCACAGCUGGUGUGAUCCCAUCGCAACGUGGUCUCUAUGAAUUCAUCCUCGACAGUUUGUAUAAUAUUUCCACAUCAGUAUACAGUAGGAGACGUGAGGUAUGAGUUCUCUUUAUUGGAACCUAAAUCAGUACGCAACAUUUGGCUGAUCUCUCUCAGCAAAUUAUACAAUAUCUCAUCAGUUAUAUUGUCUGAAAAUUGGAUUUUCAAGUCUGACACUGUGUAACUGUUUCAUACAUAAAUUGUUCAAUUAUACAUCACGAGUGAAAUUGGUUGAACAGCACGCGCGCUACGAGGAAAUGAACGGCAAGAUGAAGUAGACAAGAAAAGUGACUUAGUAUUCACAGUUGGUCUGAGGGAAACUUCACCGAGCUGCUCGCGGUGAUUUAUGAGGCUGAAUUUGUUUGAUUUGUUCUUGAGAGCAAAAACUGCCCUCUCAGUUUAAUAGCGAUUUGAAUGCGUCUCAGGAUUCUUACACGAACAUUAUACACUAGCACUCGGGAGUUCAGUUAAACACUAUUUCAAAGCCCAUCAAAGGGGAGCAUUCGGAUUAUAGUGAUGUAUUUGCAACUCUGAGACAUCACAGUGUGAGUGUUACAACUUCAAAGUGGUGACUGCAAGUUCCAUUGGCUUGAACACUGGGGUGCCAUAGAAACCAAAAGAAAAAAAAAACAGACCCUCUGUGUAGAAAGAAAGCCGGCCCGUGAUUCAGACAGAGUUGAACAUCUUCAGUGUGUUGUACCAGGAUAAUCUUUGUAACAUCCAAAAGAAGCUUUUAUCUGCAAACUCUUUCAUAUGUACAGGCUGUUUCUAACAGUUGAUGUCAGUUUCGCAGAGGGUGGUUACAACCUCACUAACACCUGUACGAUCUGAAUGCACCUCUGUGAAGCUCAGAAUGUGUCUUUUUGGUUGAAUGAUUGUGUCACAGAGAUGUUGGCGAGGCUGUUUAUGGAUUGCAGUGUAUAUAAACUGCAUCUAAUAUUUUGUCCACCUCUCCUGCAUCUUUAAUCAACUUCAGACACCCUGGUAUUUUCCCCUCUUUUCAUAUCUAUGUCUCCUCUCUCUCUCUCUUUUUCUCUGUGUGUGACAUAGUUUUCAUCUUUUUUUUUGUGCUGUAUCUGGAGGGCGCCCAGGCAGGGGAAUUCAUCAUCCUAAUGCGCCAUGUAUAAGCACUUGUUAAAAACCCCACACUGCAUUUUUUCGAUAUUCAUCAUGGGUUGUAAUAUUUCUGCUUCGGGUGCCUGAGGCAACUUCUGCAGCCAGUCAAAGAGCAUCAUUGAAGAGAGUGAAAUCAAGCUGGUGGAACUCCCAGAUAUGAAGAGAUGGCUAUUGAGGAAUAGUGUUUUUGCUGGAGGAGAGGUCCAACACACACACACACACACACACACCACACACGCACACCACACA